rnacentral:misc_RNA from 1 species
GAGGAAAGUCCGGGCUCCAUAGAGCAGGGUGCCAGGUAACGCCUGGGGGGCGCAAGCCCACGACAAGUGCAGCAGAGAGAAGACCGCCGAUGACCCGCAAGGGCACAGGUAAGGGUGAAAGGGUGCGGUAAGAGCGCACCGUGCGGCUGGCAACAGUCCGUAGCAGGGUAAACUCCACCCGGAGCAAGACCAAAUAGGCUUCCACAUUGCGUUGCUCGCGUAAGGAGGCGGGUAGG